ensembl:lncRNA
CUAGCAGCUAGCUAACGUUAAUUGGCUGCUGGUUGAGCUCACCCUCAUAACACAUGAUGUUCAGUUCUCACCGCAGCAAAACCUCAUUCGCUUCCCGCUUUGGCUCAACUUUUCACCGCGGCUCUUCCGGCCGCAGCGCCGCAUGUAGCCAGGCCUCCAGCUCGUGUAGCCAUAGACAUAAAUACUAUUAUUACUUAUGCUUGUAGCAGUCACUAGCGCGAGGCUGCUUCCGCUAACGGCGCAGGCCGUGUUGCAAAUUAAGUUUUUUGGGUAAAGAUACUAAAGGUAGGUUGUUUGUUGCUAGAAGUUUUUAAAUAACAGGAGAACAUCAUGGAUGUUGAUGUCAUUGUUGUAACCAUGACGCAAAACUGUGUAUAACACACAAUGAAAUUACUCACAUUUUCUGUAUUAAUUUUCAAUAGCAUUUUUCCUGUAUUUUAAAUUGCAUAUUGUACUCAGAUAGACAGAGAAGAUUGAAAUUGAUUUUCGAGAAAAUAAGUUCAACGGUGUACCUAAAAAAUUUACAAUUAUAGGUGCAAACUAACAACCAAGGUGUAUCAUAAAGAAACCAUUAAAAUUAUUGAACAAGUGCAACUAGCAACCUAAUUUGCAUGCGUUGUGCAUACUGCUAGGCACCUCACUCCAAGUCUCUACCAGCUGAUGUGUGGCUUGGCUGGCUAGCUGUUUCAAUACUUACUACUUUUUGUGUUGUUAAGAGGAAAAGUGUCUUUUCUUCAUUCUAUCACGUUUUUAAAUGUUGUUCACGAGUUCACACUUACAUAUAAUUAGCUGAAGUAUAUAAUGCAUAUUUGGCGUGCUGUCCGGGGAAGGGCUCCGAGCUCGGGAAUGGCCCGAACCUAGAGUACCCCCCCUACAUAAGUGUAAAAUGAACUCUAAGUGGAGGAGAUGGGGUGGAGAGGGGAUGCUGAUAAACCGUCAAUGGAUAGGGGUGAGUCAGCUGUAUUUAUACCCUAGUGUUGAUUAUCUUAAGUGAGCUCCACCUGUGGUAAUUAGGCUAAGUAUCUGACGUGCUCCUCCCGAACCUUGUUAAUAAAACAUCAUUUCACGAGUUCACACUUACAUAUAAUUAGCUGAAGUAUAUAAUGCAUAUUUGGCGUGCUGUCCGGGGAAGGGCUCCGAGCUCGGGAAUGGCCCGAACCUAGAGUACCCCCCCUACAUAAGUGUAAAAUGAACUCUAAGUGGAGGAGAUGGGGUGGAGGGGGGAUGCUGAUAAACCGUCAAUGGAUAGGGGUGAGUCAGCUGUAUUAAUACCCUAGUGUUGAUUAUCUUAAGUGAGCUCCACCUGUGGUAAUUAGGCUAAGUAUCUGACGUGCUCCUCCCGAACCUUGUUAAUAAAACAUCAUUUCACGAGUUCACACUUACAUAUAAUUAGCUGAAGUAUAUAAUGCAUAUUUGGCGUGCUGUCCGGGGAAGGGCUCCGAGCUCGGGAAUGGCCCGAACCUAGAGUACCCCCCAAAAAGGCAAUAGCAAAAGGACAGCCACCAGACUAAGGACCCCCCCACAAUAGCAUUGAGAUCUGGCGGGGGCUGAUAUUUGGAAAGUCAGCUGGUUGGCAGGCCGGAAGAGCCUACGUACUCUGGUGGGAGUGACUUGUACAUUUGGAAAGGUAGGCCCUACCGGCUGCUGGUAUUGAACUACGUGAUUUGUGGCGCCCGGUCGGGAGGGCUGGAGCCGUUGCUCAACCGGAGCACCUCACUGCAUUGGAACGGAUGAGCCCUACCGGCUGAUGAAGGAGGAGCAGCGUGAUUGAAUAGCCCGACCAGGAGGGCCUGAGUUGCCUCGACUGGAAUAGGUCACAGUGUUGGCGUACGGGCCCUACUGGCUGAUGAGCCCCUGCUAAUCAGUGGGCAACCAGGGCAGAUAACUGACUGAGAGGGCCCAUGAAGCCUCCGACUGGAGAUCGAGACUCAGGACGACGGACGUGUAGGUCCUCUCAGUUGAGCAGAUAAACAGGCUUUGGGCCACCGGCAAAGAGGACUCUAGCGACAUCGGACGGGAG